CAUAAAUACCAUAUCAUUCCAUUCCAAUUUACACUUUCAUUUUGCAUAAAACAUUUGCAUCAAAGUCAUAGUUAUGGUAGAGAAAGAAUUCCGUUCGAGUUCGCUGAUUGAAAUCAUUUGGAGCGCUCAUAUGGCUCGACGUAGUCGUUGUAUCUUGAGAGAUGAUUGCCACAGAACCUUUAGCACCGAUGCGGGGCAAAUUCAUCUUAAGGACAAAGUGUCCAACACUUGUCUCGAUCAAAAAUCCGUCAUUUGCAUCUUCUUUUUUCAUUUUCUGAUUCCUUUUAUUAUGAUUUGAUUUCAGAAAAUGAUUAACGUUAUUUAUAUGUUUAUCCUGCAAGGUUUGAUCCAAAGAAUUACUUGCUUUCGAUCAUGAGUCAAAAGGGAAUAAUCCAUAUUCAGGUGUUCGAAUUCGAUAAAUUCUUAUUUUGCCUUCUCAAAUCCUAUCUCAGUAAAUCGAAAUUAUAUUUCGAUUUCACGCAAAUUAACGGUAUGUUUUUAUGAAUAUAUUAUGCUCAAUUAUCGAUGUAAUUCUCCAACAAAUAUACAGAAGACUAGAGUUUACGUUGAGCGUGAAAUUGUUUCACAGAACUUGGGGGAAAUUAGUGAUGGCGUCAAGAUGGUGCCUGCUAGUAUGGAUGCAAUCUUAUUGCUGCCGAGGAAAGAGAUGGAUUAUAAUGGGGACGAGUUCAGGAAUUGUACGGUAUGCCUGGAGGAGAUCACGAAGGGGGUGGAAGUCUCGACCCUUCCGUGCUCGUGUAUGUUUCACAGUAAUUGUAUUGCAGAAUGGCCUAAGAGAAGUCAUUAUUGUCCUAUUUGUCACUUUGAGAUGCAUAUUGCAAUGAAUAAGGUAUUGUUUCUCGAUCAAUUUCAAGAAAGGUUCAUGGAAUCUUGUAGUGUGAAAUAGUCUUCAGAUUAUUGUUUUGGUAUCUUUGCGUGAGAAUUCUUAAACUUUGUAAGUUGUUUAAUGUUUUAUGUAAUAGAAAUAUCCCAG
rnacentral:lncRNA from 1 species